rnacentral:rRNA from 1 species
CCUACGGGUGGCAGCAGUGAGGAAUAUUGGUCAAUGGGCGCGAGCCUGAACCAGCCAAGUCGCGUGAAGGAUGACUGCCCUACGGGUUGUAAACUUCUUUUAUAAAGGAAUAAAGUGAGGCACGUGUUCCUUUUUGUAUGUAUUCUAUGAAUAAGGCUCGGCUAACUCCGUGCCAGCAGCCGCGGUAAUACGGAGGAUCCGAGCGUUAUCCGGAUUUAUUGGGUUUAAAGGGAGCGUAGAUGGGUUGUUAAGUCAGUUGUGAAAGUGUGGGGCUCAACCGUAAGAGUGCAAUUGAUACUGGCAGCCUUGAGUGCGGGAGAGGUAGGCGGAAUUCGUGGUGUAGCGGUGAAAUGCUUAGAUAUCACGAAGAACUCCGAUUGCGAAGGCAGCCUACUAGACCGCCACUGACGUUGAUGCUCGAAAGUGUGGGUAGCAAACAGGAUUAGAUACCCUUGUAGUC